GACGAACGCUGGCGGCGUGCUUAACACAUGCAAGUCGAACGGAAAGGCCCUGCUUUUGUGGGGUGCUCGAGUGGCGAACGCGUGAGUAACACGUGAGUAACCUGCCCUUGACUUUGUGAUAACUUCAGGAAACUGGGGCUCAUACCGGAUAGGAGCUCCUGCUGCAUGUUGGGGGUUGGAAAGUUUCGGCGGUUGGGGAUGGACUCGCGGCUUAUCCGCUUGUUGGUGAGGUAGUGGCUUACCAAGGCUUUGACGGGUAGCCGGCCUGAGAGGGUGACCGGGCACCAUGGGACUGAGAGACGGCCCAGACGCCUACGGGAGGCAGCAGGGGGGAAUAUUGCGCAAUGGGCGGAAGUCUGAGGCAGCAACGCCGCGUGCGGGAUGACGGCUUUCGGGUGAUAAACCGCUUUCGCCGGAGACGAAGCGUGAGUGACGGUAAUGGGUAAAGAAGCACCGGCUAACUACGUG
rnacentral:rRNA from 1 species